GUACAUGAAGUUUAAUAAUUUGUUAACUUCGGGUGCCAAGACUUCGACAGUUUUCUCAUAAAUUUCGACCCUGUUUGGUUGCUCAUUAGACUUUGGUUGUGGAAUUGCACGAGAACAACAUCUCCAAGUAUAAAGCAUAACCGCAUGUUCCAAACCUUCUUCCAAAAGUUCAUUCUACAAAAAAAAUACAUGUAAAAAUUAUGAAAAUAUUUCUCGAAAUGCAACUAUUAGUCAUAUUUUAAGAGCAAAAAGCAUACCAAGCUCGCAUGCACCGUAGCUUCCUCGAUAUAUUUGGCGAUUCCAGUAACAAAUCCAUUCCGAUCUUCGAAAUUUGUAUCGAAAUUUGCUUGGUAGACAACAGAACAAGGUUGUGCUUCGAUGCACGGUUGUUCGUCAGGCAAGAAUGCAGGAUCUUCAAAAAACUAUUAAAGCACUCGCGACAUAAUUUUGGAGCAUUGGCAAAGGCAGAAAAAGUAGAAUCUAAAUGAACAAAAAACACUUUUAUAUUGAGAGGCGACGAUAGAAACAGAAUUGAAAUACUUUUUUAAUGAAGAAAUUUCACUUAUUUUGCCGAAAACACAGAAGAAUGAUAUCCUUUGACUUUAUGAGAGUAAAAUAGAAGAAAUGGUCAUUUUUCAACGACUCACCCUUAAAAGGGUUUUGCAAGGGAGAUGCGCAAUUUAAAAAAUCCGUAAAUGACGAGCUCCACCCUUCGAAAUGUCAAAGUAAAACAUCCGUAGCAAACAUGGCGGUCGGUACUCGGCCUGUCAGAAUCAGAAAUAAAAUAAAUCUCUGGUCAUCUUUGGUCGUAC